AUCAUUACCGAGCAAGGGUCCCUGCCCAGGGGCCCGACCCUCCACCCAGUGCGUACCGACCCUUUUGUUGCUUUGACGGGCCGCGGGGUCCCCCUCCACGGGGCCUCCCGUUGGCCUUUGGCGGACGAGCGCCCGUCAAAGACCCCCCAUUCAUCCUUGCAAUCCGUGUCGUCUGAGCUAUGAUACAAUUAAGUAAAACUUUCAACAACGGAUCUCUUGGUUCUGGCAUCGAUGAAGAACGCAGCGAAAUGCGAUAAGUAAUGUGAAUUGCAGAAUUCAGUGAAUCAUCGAAUCUUUGAACGCACAUUGCGCCCCCUGGCAUUCCGGGGGGCAUGCCUGUCCGAGCGUCAUUACACCCCUCGAGCUUGGCUCGGUGAUGGGAACUGCCCCGGGGGGCAUUCCCGAAAAGCAGCGCGCGAGGCCCUUGGACCGUUCGGCGAAGUACAACAUUCGUUCCGCCGUGACGCUCGGGAGCCUCUGCCGAACAACCCGCCUUGUGCACUCACGAUUGACCUCGGAUCAGGUAGGGAUACCCGCUGAACUUAAGCAUAUCAUA
rnacentral:rRNA from 1 species